rnacentral:sRNA from 1 species
AUCAUAUAAUUGAAAACUACCUUUGCUACUUUUGGAAUUUUAAAACUGAAAUAAUUUUAGAAAUAAUUUGACCUCCCUCAUUUGUAAAUGAUGGAAGACUUAAACAAUUUCACACAAUGAGAAAAUGCCAGAACCAGGGCUCGUACCACUAACUCACAUGUUCAACCAUCAAAGUACACAGUUCCUAUUGGUUUUAGUUCUGCCCUUUUAGAUUGGUGGCCCUGCAGAUAUUUAAAGACAGGCAUUAUUUUUAUCCUCAAUCUUCUUUCUGCUGAGAGGCUUUAUCAGGAAAGAUGGUAGUGUCUUUUUUUCUCUCUGCAGGCUGAGGACCUGUUCAUGGAAUUUGCACAUAAGGCUUCAGCUUUCAACAACUGGUGUGAAAAGGCGGAAGAAAACUUGUCAGAGCCUGUGCACUGUGUCUCCCUGAAUGAAAUUCGGCAGCUGCAGAAAGACCAUGAGGACUUCUUGGCCUCCUUGGCUGGGGCUCAAGCAGACUUUAAAUGUUUGCUGGAGCUAGACCAGCAGAUUAAGGCCUUAGGUGUGCCUUCCAGCCCUUAUACCUGGUUAACAGUGGAGGUGCUGGAAAGGACCUGGAAGCACCUAUCUGACAUCAUUGAGGAACGGGAGCAGGAGCUGCAAAAGGAAGAGGCAAGACAGGUCAAGAACUUUGAGAUGUGUCAGGAGUUUGAACAGAAUGCCAGUACCUUCCUUCAGUGGAUCCUGGAAACCAGGUGUGCUAUGGUACAUCCCAAACCAUGACCCCUAUG